rnacentral:rRNA from 1 species
AUUGAACGCUGGCGGCAGGCCUAACACAUGCAAGUCGAACGAGUGGCGGACGGGUGAGUAAUGUCUGGGAAACUGCCUGAUGGAGGGGUAUAACUACUGGAAACGGUAGCUAAUACCGCCUACCAUCGGAUGUUCCCAGAGUGGAUUAGCUAGUCGGUGGGGUAAAGGCUCACCUAGGCGACGAUCCCUAGCUGGUCUGAGAGGAUGACCAGCGACACGGGAACUGAGACACGGUCCAGACUCCUACGGGAGGCAGCAGUGGGGAAUGUUGCACAAUGGGCGCAAGACUGACGCAGCCAUGCCGAGUGUAUGAAGAAGGCCUUCGGUGUGGAAAGUACUUUCAUCGGGGAGGCGUUACCCGCAGAAGAAGCACCGGCUAACUCCGUGCCAGCAGCCGCGGUAAUUC